CCUACGGGAGGCAGCAGUGGGGAAUAUUGCACAAUGGGGGAAACCCUGAUGCAGCGACGCCGCGUGAGCGAUGAAGUAUUUCGGUAUGUAAAGCUCUAUCAGCAGGGAAGAAAAUGACGGUACCUGACUAAGAAGCCCCGGCUAACUACGUGCCAGCAGCCGCGGUAAUACGUAGGGGGCAAGCGUUAUCCGGAUUUAUUGGGUUAAAAGGGUGCGUAGGCGGAAUGCCAAGUCAGCGGUAAAAUCGCGGGGCUCAAACUCGCUCCGCCGUUGAAACCGGCGUUCUUGAGUGGGCGAGAAGUAUGCGGAAUGCGUGGUGUAGCGGUGAAAUGCAUAGAUAUCACGCAGAACUCCGAUUGCGAAGGCAGCAUACCGGCGCCCAACUGACGCUGAAGCACGAAAGCGUGGGUAUCGAACAGGAUUAGAUACCCGGGUAGUC
rnacentral:rRNA from 1 species